rnacentral:rRNA from 1 species
AUUGAACGCUGGCGGCAGGCUUAACACAUGCAAGUCGAGCGGGGUGAUGGUGCUUGCACUAUCACUUAGCGGCGGACGGGUGAGUAAUGCUUAGGAAUCUGCCUAUUAGUGGGGGACAACAUCUCGAAAGGGAUGCUAAUACCGCAUACGUCCUACGGGAGAAAGCAGGGGAUCACUUGUGACCUUGCGCUAAUAGAUGAGCCUAAGUCGGAUUAGCUAGUUGGUGGGGUAAAGGCCUACCAAGGCGACGAUCUGUAGCGGGUCUGAGAGGAUGAUCCGCCACACUGGGACUGAGAAACGGCCCAGACUCCUACGGGAGGCAGCAGUGGGGAAUAUUGGACAAUGGGGGGAACCCUGAUCCAGCCAUGCCGCGUGUGUGAAGAAGGCCUUAUGGUUGUAAAGCACUUUAAGCGAGGAGGAAGCUCUUUUGGUUAAUACCCAAGAUGAGUGGACGUUACUCGCAGAAUAAGCACCGGCUAACUCUGUGCCAGCCGCCGCAGUAA